AUUGAACGCUGGCGGCAGGCCUAACACAUGCAAGUCGAACGGUAACAGGAAGAAGCUUGCUUCUUUGCUGACGAGUGGCGGACGGGUGAGUAAUGUCUGGGAAACUGCCUGAUGGAGGGGGAUAACUACUGGAAACGGUAGCUAAUACCGCAUAACGUCGCAAGACCAAAGAGGGGGACCUUCGGGCCUCUUGCCAUCGGAUGUGCCCAGAUGGGAUUAGCUAGUAGGUGGGGUAACGGCUCACCUAGGCGACGAUCCCUAGCUGGUCUGAGAGGAUGACCCGCCCCACGGGAAAGGAGAAAGGGCCCAGACCCACAGGGGAGGCAGGAGGGGGGAAUAUUGCACAAGGGGGGAAAGCCUGAGGCAGCCAGGCCGGGGUUAAGAAGAGGGCCUUCGGGGUGUAAAGUAUUUUCGGGGGGGAGGAAGGGAGUAAAUUUAAAACCUUUGCUCAUUGACGUUACCCGCAGAAAAAGCCCCGGCAAACUCCGU
rnacentral:rRNA from 1 species